CCCCCCAAUAUCAAACCUGCUCCUACGUCCUUGUUAGCAAGGCACACUAGAUGUGCUGCAGCAGCAGUUCAGUUCAUUGAGUCUUCAGCACAGUACGCACAGCAACUUCUCCCCGUGUCCCACCAGCCAGGUAACAUACACAUCAAGUAAAAUCCUACUGUUUGCCCUCUAAACCCAACCUGAAAUCAGUUUGUUGUGCAGUAAAAUGUCUCAUAUAGCACCAAACUACUAUGUAUUUUAUCAGUUGGUGGUGUGACAUUUUUCCAUUGACAACUCACGUUUAGACACAUUAUGUUACAAAUAAAAGUCAAAUUUCAUUCAAUAUGUGCGUGUAAUUAUUUUUAUAAUGAAGUGUUCCACGUGCGCUAAAAAGUGCCCUUUUCCCCCCUGAGCACUUGCCCCCCAAAAUGUCUGUGCACGCCACUGACUUAUUUAUACGAGGGGAUCUGUCCUCCUCAACUUAUAAAUGAAUGUUAAAAACUUAGGUCUUAUAUAUUUAGGUGAAUAUCCGUAUCAGCAAAGGAAGCAUUUAGGAAAUUACUAGUAAGAGUUAAUGUAAACUUCAGUGUAGUCAGUAGUGGAGAGUAAGCCACUAGUCCGAGGCAGGUGGCAAAAACGACAGCUGACCUGCAGUGGGUGAUGUGAAAGACUGAGACUUUGAACUGCUGCUGAUUCAGCAUUGCCAAAUAGCCAGCACAAAGCACAGCAACUCAGUUCCAAUACAUCAGAUAACAGUAGCCUUGUGCUGAUCGAAAUACAGUUUGGAGUUAUGAGGGAAACCCUCCAAAAGCUAACCUAAUCAAGACUGUGUCUCAGCCCUGAAUAUUUUAAGGAAAUUGGAAUUUUACAGAGUUGGGGAGCUUUAUGACAAUAUGUACUUCAGAAUUGGGGAGAUUAAAGAGCAAAGGAUGGGUCAGUGUAGUAUUCGGGCACAGACACAGAUGAGCAAGCAGAGUUGUAGGGUAUACUGGAGGUCAGGUCUGGAGCGGAGUAGAGUUUAAAACAUUACCAAUUAAAAGCUGCAGGCUGUGUAGACCAGCACUGAACAACACACACUCUGUUUUUCUGUUUGAACAGAUCUGUUUAAAAUAGACUAUUAUUCGUUCUAUAAAACCACAUUCAGUUACAUUAGCUUGCUAGUACUUAUAUUAUGCAAUUAUGCUUUUUUUAUUCUCUCUCUUUCUCCCUCUUCCACUUUCUUUCAGGCCGCUGCCCCUCGACCCCAGCCUGGGGUGAAAGGCUCAGGAGGAUCUGUUGCAGGUUGGCCGGUGGUGGGUUUGGCCAAGGAUCACCCAGAGUUCAAUUCAUGACAUCCUGCUGAUCAGUAGAAUAAGUAUUCUGUUUAGAAGAAACUUGUUUAGAGUUGAUAAUUUAAAACCUAAAAUGUUUUUUUUUUGUGUUUUU